UCAACAAGGCAUGAAGCAGAUCUGUAUAACUACUCCAGUUUCGGACUCUGUAGCCACUGAUGUCAAACAGUAGUGGUGGAGAAGUGCCUUGGUCCAAAAUGUUUGGCACAUUUGCUCUAUCAGUGGGAGCUGCUGUGGGUAUGGAGUUUUGGGCUAGAUGGGCUCAUGAGGCUCUCUGGCAUGCUUCCUUGUGGCACAUGCAUGAGUCCCACCAUCGACCAAGAGAAGGACCCUUCGAGCUUAACGAUGUAUGAAUUUUGAUGGUUAGAGUUGACUUGGAUAUAAGGGAACUAAAUAUCUUUCAAGGAUGCAAUUACACCCACUGUUGAAUCUCACCAGGUAGUUUUCAUAUCU